rnacentral:lncRNA from 1 species
CCCCCAGCUGUGCCUUAAGGACUAAUUCUGGCACCCUCUGCUGGGAACUCCCUGAAUGCCUUUUAUUCCUUAAGGAGGUACACAGGGAAAGGGGCUUUGGGCCCCACCCUACUCUGCUUGGGAAUACCAAGUAUUCCAUGAGUUCACCUUAACCAGGUUGAUCUUUCUAAGAGGCUAACCCAGUGCUCCCCUCCAUUUCCUGCUACUGAGCAGUUCAUCCAGCUUUCCACAAAGUUGUUGCUGCCUGAUGUGAUGCCUCCUCAAGAUAGGGGCUCUAACCUCUCUCUGUCUUAGUUCUUGAAGUAGGCUCUCAAAAAUGUUCUCUCCUUCUCCCAAGGGAGGAGCCACAGAAUCCUCAGAAGAAAAAUGUGCCCUAACCUGCCCCAUGUGCCCAGGAUUGAUGCACCUGCUGAAUGACUCAGGCCCCAUGCUCCUGGGGGCCUUUCCUACCCCCAUCAGCAUCAAUAAAACCUCCUGUCUCCAAAAAAAAAAAGAAAGAAA